GACGAACCGUGCGAACGUUGUUCGGAAUCACUGGGCUUAAAGGGCGCGUAGGCGGGUGACCAAGUCAGGGGUGAAAUCUUUCGGCCCAACCGGAAAAGUGCCUCUGAUACUGGUCGUCUUGAGGGAGGUAGGGGUCGAGGGAACUGGUGGUGGAGCGGUGAAAUGCGUAGAGAUCGGAAAGAACACCAACGGCGAAAGCACUCUGCUGGGCCGACACUGACACUGAGAGACGAAAGCUAGGGGAGCGAAUGGG
rnacentral:rRNA from 1 species